AUACGUAGGUGACAAGCGUUAUCCGGAUUUAUUGGGUUUAAAGGGUGCGUAGGCGGUUUGCUAAGCGGGAGGUGAAAUGCCGGCGCUCAACGUCGGAAGUGCCUCCCGAACUGGUGGACUGGAAUGACUCUGCCGUGGGAGGAAUGUGUAGUGUAGCGGUGAAAUGCUUAGAGAUUACACAGAACACCGAUUGCGAAGGCAUCUCACGAAGGGUUGAUUGACGCUGAGGCACGAAAGCGUGGGGAUCAAACAGGAUUAGAUACCCUGGUAGUCCACGCAGUAAACGAUGAUGGCUAACCGCUGGUUUAUUCGGAUCAGUGGCCAAGCGAAAGCGAUAAGCCAUCCACCUGGGGAGUACGACCGCAAGGUUGAAACUCAAAGGAAUUGACGGGG
rnacentral:rRNA from 1 species